AAACAAUGCAAUUGUGUUACAAGGGAAAAAGUUCAUUACAGUUUUACAUGAAGUCUGUUUUGUUGAACUUCACUAACAUGAUUUUUACACUAAGUAUGUGUUCUUGAAAUCCACUGUUCACUGAUAGACUUGGAGUGCAAAACUGUUUGUGGCAAUUGCAGUCCUAAAGCUAUCAUAGCCAUUGUAGUCCUAAGCCAUCAUAGCAUAACCGUUUAUAUGAAUUGUGGCCCAGAGCCAUUUUCAUGGUUGUUUAAGUGGUACCAUACUCAGUAAUCUAAAUUAUGUUUAGGCUGCACCAUGUGGGGCCAUCCUCAGCAGCAGCAAGUGAUGUCCAUUUGAUUAAGAACUCCAGCUAGAAGUAGGGCAUCAGGAUGGAUCAGGCAGGUCCGUAGAGCAGAAUCACUGAUAUCUCAGGAGUAGCAUGUGUAGCCCAACAGAAAGAGAGUGAGAGAGGAAGGGAGAGAGAUGGGAGAUUAUUAGGUAUUUUUGUUAGGAUUAUUGUCUUGUAAUGGUUAAGGACAAUGUACUUUGUGUGCAGAGUGCAAGCAGGGACUCCAACAAGACUAGCUAUGACAGCAUAACUAAAAGGGAGAGCCAGAAGGCAACACAGACAUGAGGGUGCCCUGCGACAUAAAGUAUGAGUGAACACUUAAGAGUGGGGGCGACAGCAUCCAAACAUCCCAAUUCACCACAACAAUUGGUCCAUGAACCCUCCAGAACUGCUCUUUUAACUAAGAAAAAAAUAUUUACAAAAGCCUUGACCUAAUCUUGACUUAAAAACUGAGACUGUGUCUGAUUCCCAAACACUAAUUGGAAGACUGUUCCAUAACUGUGUGGAUUUGUAAGAGAAAGCUCUACCCCCUGCUGUAUCCUUCACUAUUCAAGGUACCAACAAAUGACCUGCACCUUUUGAUCGAGUAGACUUGGUGAAUCAUAAAGUACCAAAAGUUUGAUCAGGUACUGUGGAGUGAGACCAUUCAGUAUAAUAUUGACCAUAAUCAGUACGAAGUUUGCGUGGUAACCAAUGUAGUGUGGAUAAGAUAGGGGUGAUGUGGUCAUAUCUUCUGGUUCUAGUAAAGACUCUUGCAGCUGUAUUCUGGACUAAUUGGAGUUUGUUUAUGCUCCUAUUGGAAUAUCCAGACAGUAAGACAUUGCAAUAAUCCAAACUAGAGGUAACAAAACGUGAACUAAUUUUUCUGCCUUGUGUAGUGCCUUAGAAACAUUAUAUUUCUUAUUUAGCAAUAUUUCUAUGAUGAAAGAAGGCCAUCCUAGUAAUAUUAUCUACAUGAGCUUUAAAUGAAAGACUGGAGUCAAUAAUCACACCAAGGUCUUUUACUACUGCACAUGAUGAAACAGAAAGGCCAUCCAGAGUUACUAUGUAAUCAGAAAGCUUAGUUCUAGCUGCAUGUGGACAUUAUAGUACUAGAUGUAUUGUUUUCUAAAUAUUUUGUAUACUCCACCUGUAUGGUAUAUGGAGAUUAUACAGACACUUAAACAAACUUAACCAUUAUCCUAAAUAGCUUAAUAGAAUUACUUGAUUAUUUCACUGAAGGUCUUGCAACAUUGUUUCAGCUUGUUACACAUUAUUUUGCAAACUGCAUGUGUGUGCAGUGUGUGCGCAAGUGAGAAAGCCUCUCAAACAACAUAAUAAUGACUUCUGGUUUUGUGAAAAACAUCUUUAAGAUGUAACAGAGUUUGUGAAUCUACUAUAUAUAUAUUGAAAGAACACCUUUGCCAAGAGUAUGCAAAACAAAUGCAAAUUUUGUAGUGAUUUAUUGAUGCCAAAUCGACUGCUUUGUUUAGCAAUCAAAUUCUAUGAAAAUUUUAUCACCUGCCAGCUGUAGGUGGCUGUUGAGUACCAUCCCCCAUGAAAAACAAACUAUUGCACAUCUCAUCUAUUUAAUAAAUGCACUAACAUGUAAGUAGUCUGGGAAUCUUUCUUUUCCCUACUGUAUUAGCCAUGUGUUGCUUUGGUAUUUGUUGGGUGCUGUAUCAGCCAUUGUAUUUUAUGGUAUUUGAUAUUUGUUUAACAUUCCUUUCCAGCUUUAGUCCCCAUUUGCUGUGGCAUUGUCAUGCUGGAGCAGGUUUGAGGCUCUUAUUUCCAGUGAAGGGAAAUCGUAAUGCUAUAGCAUCCAGAGACAUUCUAUACAAUUGUGUGGUUCCAACUGUCUGGCAACAGUUUGGGGAAGAACCACAUAUGGGUGUGAUGGUGAGGUGUCCACAAACAUUUGGCCAUAUAUUGUAUGAAAGGGGAAUAAUUAGAUAUGCUAUGUUUAAAUAGUUUACUUCCUACACCUGGGGAUAAGGCAUAAAAAUUAACUCGAGGUUAAUAAUCAGUAAUCAGUGUUCAGACUUGUAGUAUAUGGUGAGUUGUUAUUGAACUGUUUAAGGUGUAUGUAUAAACUUUUCUUUUUUUUUUUGCAUACAUGUGUAUUGAACAUUUACAUUUAAAAAACAAACAAACAAACAAAAAAAACACACUCUAUGGCACAGAUUCCCAGACCUGGUCAUGGAGUACCCUCUGUCCUGUGCAUUUUAGUGUUUUACAUGCUCCUAACAUAGCUGAUUGAACUAAUUAGCUAAUUUCCAUCCUUAUAAGUAAAAUGAGCUUCAUGUGAAUCGGUAACCUCGCAAUAACAAUGGAAUAACAAUGUUCUUGAGAAAUACAGUAGAAUUAUCUUAUCUUGUAAUCAUCUUUAUUUGCUGUACACAACAAAUCUGGCAGAUCAGCAAAUAAACACAAAUGAAGGAUAGACAUUUAUAGACAUGUAUUUGCUAAAAAAAAAAAAGUUAGUUUAUUGAUCAUUUUUCUGCUAUAUUGUGAAUUGGACAGUUAAUAGUUGUACAAAGGUUCAUGUAUUCAUUUAUUAUGAUAUUUUAAUACUCUGCAGCAUUUUCAGGUCCCAAUGUUCAUGUGACGGGGAGAAGGGAGAAGCCAGGGUGUGAGGAGAGAGAGAUAAAGGAGCGGCUUGAAGCACCAGUGGGAGAGAGACACAUGUGUGCUUUGUGUUUGGCCUACGUUUGUGUGUUUUACAUUAUGUUUGAGAUUUUUUUAUUAUUGAACUUUACGUUUAUGUUCAGCCGGUUCCUGCUCCUCCUUGCCCGGCUUUGAAGUGUGUGACACGGGUGUGCCAGCCACUCCUUUAUCUCUCUCAAUGUGGCUUCUGUCUUCAUCUUUCACAGAUCCAUAAGUAAAGUACUGGUGCCAUGGAGAUGUUACUCUAAGUCUACACUGAUCUUACAGUUGAUAUUAGACAUAUUGUCAAGUGUAACACAAAACAUGUCAUCCACUUUAAUAGGUACAUCUGCUCAUUCAUGCAGUUAACCAAUCAGCCAAUCAUGUGGCAACAGUUCAAUGCAAAAAAUAAUGCAGAUACAGAUCAAGAGCUUCAGUUAAUGUUAAUGUCAAGCAUCAGAAUUGGGGGGGCAUCCCUGUGACCUUAAAUGUGGCAUGGUUGUUGCUGCCAGAGGGGCUGAUUUGAAUAUUUCAGAAACUCCUGAUCUCCUGGGAUUUUCACACACAACAGUCUCUCUAAAGUUUACAGAGAACUGAAGCUUUUGACCUGUAUCUGCGUGAUUUUAUACAUUGUGCUGCUGCCACAUGAUUGGCUGACUGGAUAACUGCACGAAUGACUCCUGUGUACAGAUCUUUCUAAUAAACUGGAUGGUGAGUGUAUGUGUCUGUAAUUCUAUGGUAUUUAACUCAUUUCUUUAAGUUUAACCAAAAAAGGUAAACAUUUGACUGACAGUGUAGGAAAUAAUAAAUCUGAGCAAUCAGCCCGGUAAAAUCUAGAGAGUUUCUUUUCUAGCAAAUGAUAACUUUAAAAAAAAAGCAGGGGCACUGAGUGUCACUUACCUGUAUACACUACUCUCUGUGUUUAAGUUGUGCAGUUUUUUAUUAUCUGUGCUGAAAAAAAGGUUCUGACGCACAUAAACAUUAAAAUUUAGUGAAACAGGUUCAAAUUCUUCUUAUUAAAAGCGUUGACUGGUAUGAGGGGAACAACCCAGAAUGAUGUUGAGUAUAAAUAAAGCUGGGACUUUCCGUCAGUCCUAUCACGUGUCCCAGCAUAUCAGAGAACAGAUCCCCACUGUCCACAAACACAUCUAGUUUGGGAAUGUCUAAUCUAAUAACGCUGCUUCUCUUCACUGCCAUCUGCUGUCACUGAAACAUACAUGAACACAAACAUAAAGCAGUUUGCCCUUGGCAACCUGGAAAUAUAUACAAGGCCUUAGUGAUUAUUAUGACUACGUUUUAACUGUUCCAUGGCACCAUUUACAUCAGCAAAAGCUCGAUCUGUGAUUCAUGCUUUCCAGACAGCAAUUAACCAGUCAUAAUAUAUAUAAAUAAACAAAAAAAUUAAUAAUUUAUUAAGAUGUCUAGCAGGAAUGGAAUGGGGAGCUAGUCAAAAAUCUUCAUAACAAAUAUAUUGUGCAUUGAUCAGGUCACUACUGAAUUAUGGAUAUAUAAUAUAUGGGUCUGCAUCAUUAGCCUUGAUGAGGAAAAUUGAAACAGUACAGGCACAAUUGUUAAGAAUAUGUUGUGGUGCUUUUGUAUCCUCUCCAAUAACAGCAGCGCAAAUGGAGGUGGGAGAAAUGCCCAUGUGUAUACGCAAGUUAAAAUUAACAAUGAAUUAUUGGAUUAAUAUGAAAGGACAUUCUGAGACACACCCAGUUAAGGAAAUACUACAAGAGUGCUGGAAGUGUGGGAAUAAUAAUAUAAGAAGUUUUGGUUGGACAGCGAAUAAAGAGUCUAUGAAUUUGGGAGUUACAGAAACUUCAGUUAAUCCAACAAUUGUAGUACUAAAUAAACCUCCCUGGUUGUUCCCCAUGGCUCAAGUCAAUUUCCAUCUAUAAUAUAAAGUUAAGAAUGAAACAUAUAUACCUAAGGAGGUUAUUGUACAGCAGUAUUUAGAUCAGGAAUACUCUUCAAUGCCCCACAUAUUCACCAAUGGUUCAAAAGAUCCUACAUUAGAAAAAACAGCUGCGGUGGUAUAUAUUAAGAGGUUCAAAGGCAGCAUUAAAAAAAUGGACAACUAAUUAUGUAUCAGUUUUUACAACAGAGUUUAUAGUGAUUUUGCUGCUAUUUGUCCAGACUCUCAAUCACCUUUAAAUAGCUUAUUAAAUGGGAAGUCUGAUUCAAGACAAGAUUUAGUAUAUGAGAUACUUACACAUCUGCUUAGAAUUCAGAAACUAGGGAUGGUUCUGAGAUUUCUUUGUGUAGCAGCACAUGUGGGAGUAUGAGGAAAUGAAAUAGUGGACAAUGGAUCAUGUGGAUGUUAAAGUUAUACCAUAUAUACCAUAUACCACUAGGUAAAGAAGCAGUAGAAGGAAGAAUGAGAGAACUUGUGAAUGUGAAAUGUGGGACAAAGGAAAAAAGGGAAGGCACCUAUUCAAUAGCCAAAAACAGGUUGGGAAAGGGAGAAUAGGUCUCAAAAAAUAGGAGAGAAAAUACAAUUAUCACUCGGCUCCGAAUAGGACAUUCUGGAUUAAAUCAUUCGUUGCUGAAAAUAGGGAAACAUCAAACAUGAUUAUGCUUGACAUGUGGUGAAGACUGUUGAACAUGUAUGAUUGUGUAAUGUUUACAAGGGAAAGAGAGGAAUGAUUAAAUAAAUUGAGAAAUAUAAAUUUAAUCAAUUUCACCUUACCAAAUGGCAUCCUCUCUAUUGUUUUUUUGUUUUGGGGGCUUUUCGCCAAGCAUUAAACCAGCUAUAUCAGCUGCAGCAGGAAGAAUGAAGUCCUCCACAAUAGUAUGGGGUUUUCCUGUCUCAGCCACUCUGUAGCUCACCAUGUAGGAUGCUUCCAGACCUUCCUAUUUAGGUUUUCCUACACUGUUAUGAGGGUCUUACUACUUCUGAGUUGUCUUAAAUGUCUUUCAAAAAGCUCUCGAGGUUUAUUUAGCAAAAAGUAAAUGGCAUGCUUUGUUUCUAAAUGUCUGCGCAGAAAUGCUGGUUUCAUGCAGUUAUGAAAGAGUACGUUUGCACAUAUACACACUGUGGCUGGGGAUUUUCUUCACUGUCAGCGUAUGUAAAGCCCAAAGAAAUAUAUUUCUCAUCAUAUCUGCGCAUCUUUGAUGUUUUUUCUGCGAACUGCUUGUGAAGAAGAGAUGGCGUUUCAACUCAUACAUCGCUGUCUGCAUCAGUGUGACCUGGGCUAGUAGCAAUGAGUACACUUGCUACGGAUGCGGUGUUAGAGGGACCUGGGCCACUGCUGUCUGAGGACUGGGGAUCAGCGGUGCUUGCUGUGGUUGCGGGCCGAAAUCUUUGUACUUCUCCAUUUUAAGGUUACGAGCUAUUACUUAACUUCAUCAUAUAGCCAUGUGCUGGUGAUAAAUGACAUGCGGUAAGAUGCGCACUGACGCAUGAUUGUGAGUGGAUGCAGUUUUGACCGCGAAAGACAGGAUAAUUUCUUCUUCUUCUUCUUCUUCUUCAUGUUUUAAUGGCGGUUGGCAAACCACUAAAGGUGCAUUACCGCCACCUACUGGACUGGAGUGUAGGCAGUAGAUGGGCAAGAAAAGAAAAACAACCAAAUAAUAAAUAAGGAAAAUAUAAUAAAAUAAAAAAUAAAAGAAACAAAUUAAUAAUAAUAAUACCAACACAAUAAUACAUAAAUAAAAGAAAAUAAAGAGACAAAUAGCUGUAUAGUAGAUAUUCCUACUAGAUUACUAAAGUCUCUCACUUAUCCCAGCAUUUUUUAAAUAGUUUAUUAGGGGGCGGUGCAUUUUCCCAGAUGUUUUCCCCAGCAAGUUCUCUAGUGUCAUGUUUUGUUUUCCAAUCUGCAUCUCUAGCUCAGUUCUUUCCUCCUCAUACCUUUUGCAGUCCAACAAAAUGUGUUUUGACAGGAUAAUUUGACUGGAUGUCAUAUAUUUGACCUUUAUAACAUUGCAAUUUUGCUGUUUGUACACUGGAGGGGGCACAAGUUUAUUUUUUGGCCGUGAGAAAAACAUGGAUUAGAAUUUUAAUGUUAUUCAGUGAGGCGGAAUUAAAUGAACAGUAAAUCUCAGCCUUUUGCUCCCGUACCCCCUCCGUCACCUCACGUACCCCAGUUUGUGAACCACUAAAACACAUCAGUAAUACCCCACUCAGGAUUUUUUUUUUUUUUAAAGCUUUUACGUGUCUUGAAAGAGACAGUUGCUAACAAGUGGCUAAAUGGUAUUACAGAGGUUGUCGAGGACAUUAAACAUCAUCACGCCAAACAGGAAAACUAAUCUACUACAGCCUUGUUGUGUUUAUACUUGUUAGUCACAGUGUUUAUUUUCUGCAAUAAUCCAAAUUCACUGGAAAACUCUUAUUGGAUUUUUGUCGAGGGAACCAGGGUGAUAAUAACUUCCGGGUUGGCCUACAAAAAUAUACCUCAUCCCUGCAGGAUUGACGACUGCCACUCCAGUGUCCGACACUUGAGAAGAGGAUAUCCCUCUCUCUUAAUGUGGAGAUAAAAUCCAUCUCUACAACAGGAAAUUAUUAUAUUUAUAAUGGUGUAGAUGCCAACUUGCAUGUAACACCAGUCCCAUUCACAAAGCGUGAGAUUUUCUCGUGAUAAAUUUACGUCACAAGGAAACAGCUUUUUUUAUGUCACAAUCACGAGAAAACAACAAAGAAAAAAAUUAAUAAUGCAUGGCCGCUUAGGGCUUCCGUACAAAUGUAUUUUAUUCAUUAUUUAUGAGCAAACAAAAUUAAGUAAUGAUCCUGAUAAAUUAGAGGCUGAAUUUUGUAAUGAUAACAGAAACUAAAGUCGAUGUUGAGAGGAUUAUGUGUAUAGAAACCCUCAUUAAUGGAAGUCAUAUACAUUGCAUAUAAUCUAAAGUGAUAUUAUGUGUAUGCCCCUAUUAAUACAGAUCCGGGUUUUAUUAAUAAAGUAAACAAGAUUCUUGGUGACAAAGAGGGGCAAAUAAUUUUGGCUGAGGAAUUUAUUCAGGUUAUGGAUGGGAUUAUGGUUAAGAGUAAAUAUCAAGGACUUUCUAUACCAAGAGAUAGAUCUUCCCUUCUUAUGCUAAAAGAGGAUAUUGGAUUGAUUGACAUAUGGCGCCUGGUCACUCCAACAGAAAGAGAGUAUACAACCCCAAUUUUGAAAAGAAUUUUGGACACUGUAAAAUGUAAAUAAAUGAAAACAGAAUGCAAUUAGUGAAUAACAUAUGGGUUUAUAAGGUUUGCAAAUCAUUCUAUUUCUAUUUACAUUUUACACAGCGUCCCAACUUUUUUGGAAUUGGGGUUGUUCAUUUUUUCUCAUUGCCAUAAAUCUCACUCUUUUUUCUUGCUUUCGAAUUCUAUCAUUGAUCAGGUAGUAGAUUAAAUUGUAAAAUUGGAGCAAUAGUAUUGUCAGACCACACGAUUGGAAUUGGAUUUAGCGCUAAGUACGGAAGCUGGUAGAAAGGGAAGGUGGCAUUGAAAUACUGCAUUAUUACAAGAUGAAGAGUUUAACACAUUAUUGGCUGAUGAUCUGACUUCCUUCUUUUAAUUGAAUGUGGGAAGCACUAGGCAUACAUUAGAGGAAAACUGAUUGCACAUACAGCUAGAAAGAAAAAAAUGGAAGGAAGAGACUCGGUUAAGAAAUUUGAAGCAACAAUUUGUACAUUGGAGAAGGAGCUGACUAGAUGAUACUCUACUGAUCUAUAUCAGGAUAUUUGUAAAUACAAAUUUCAAUUACAAUAUUUUAUAUAUAAUAAAAAAGAUGAAUAUGCACUAUUUAGACUACGGACAAGGUUUUUAUGAAGGAGGUGAAAAAGCGGGCAAGCUCCUUUCCAGACAAUUAAAACACAAAAUGCUGCUAACAUUAUUCCAGCAAUUAAGAAAGGAUAUGCUAUGGUAUCACUAACAAAGGAAAUAAAAGAGGUUUUCAGAAGUUCUAUAAACAUUUAUAUACAUCUUCAGGUAGUCUGGAUGGAGAAAAACUGAAAAAAAUUUUGUAAUAUAGAGUUACCUAAAUUAGAUGUAUUGCAAUCCGAGUCUCUAGACCUUCCCAUUAACAAGAGCAGGUCAAAGCUGCAAUAACCUCUAUGAAGUCUGGCAAAUCACCAGGGGCGGAUGGGUUUCCAGCUGAAUAUUAUAAGCAGACCCAAACAUUGUGGGAGUAAGGGAGGUAGAGGAGGGGAUGGAAUACAAGUUAUGAUAUGUUUUUUUUGUUAUCCCGUGAUACUCUCAAAUCUCUAUCUCCAUUAAUGAGUAUUAUUCAAUUAUAUUCAAGUGUGUCAGGAUGCAAAAUAAACUGGGAGAAAUCUGAGGCUAUGCCUAUCUAGAACAUGUCAUUCCCAUACAGUGACCUAAUUUGGCUUUAAAUGGAUUCUGAAGGGUAUGAAGUACUUGGCAUUAAACUAACGCAGAAUUUGGAGGAUAUAAUGAUGUUGAAUUAUGAAGUACUGCUGUCAAAGAUAAAAAAUAUAUAUAUAAUAAUGUGGACAAAUGGGAACAGCUGCAGCUCUCUAUGGGGUAAAGUGAAUAUAUUCAAAAUGGUUAUUGCUUCGCAGUUCAAUUUUAUAUCAGUGAUGACACCUGUGAACAUUCCAGACCCUAUUUUUAAAACAUAUGACAAAAUUAUCAAGGAUUUUCUAUGGGAAGGAAAAAGACCCAGGAUUAAAAUGAGCAGGUUGACCUCCCCAAAGGACAAGGGGGGCCUUGGAUUACCCAAUGUGCGAAUGUAUAAUUUCUCCUUUGAAACCGCCAAACUGGCUUAAACAUUGGGACGAGGCAGAUUCUGAAUUGGACUGGUCAAGACACAAUAGAAUCUAGCCUCACCACUUCAUCCCAUUAGCAUUCUUUCACAAUGCUCUGGAGCUAAAUGGGAAAUACAUCCAGUGAAAAUACAUUCAUGACAUGUUUGGAGCAAAAUUCAUAAAAUGUGCCAGACAUCACAUUAUAGAUAGUCAUAUGCAUCAUUAUGGAAUAAUCCUGAA
ensembl:lncRNA